rnacentral:tRNA from 1 species
UCCCUAUGGGCUCAGAUGGUUGAGAAUCUGCCUGCAAUGCAGGAUAUCUGGGUUCGAUCCCUGGAUUGGGAA